AACUGCUCGGUGUGGUGUUUAUUCUAGGGCUGCUGGAUAAAUGCAAUGUUGGAGGCCCGGUGGAAAAAGCUACUCUCAGUCACAAAAAAGACAAGCAGAACAUCCAGCUGACUCCUGUUAGCCUCAGCGUUUGCUGUAACUGUAAUGUUAUACAGCAAAUGCCAUGAUCUAACAAGAACCUGGAACUCUGUCUGGCUCUAUCAGCACAUUCCAGAGUGUGCAUCUGUUUCCUGUCAGCAGUGAAGCAACACUACAGUCUCUUCUUUCUCAGGCCUCAACAUGUCACACUCUCUCCCUGUAGGCCAGUGAACUGCUUAUCUUCAGGAUAAACCAUAAGUAAAUGUCAAAGGUAAAUAAGGCUUAUUGC